UAGACUUCAUCAACUCGAUUUUUGUAAUGAGAAUUUGAAUUGGUGCUUUGGACGUCUGCCAUUAACCUUGGCUCGUUUUAAAUGUCUAAGUGGAUGAAAUUAGCGUGAUAAGUCUUCGCUAUGUACUGUCCACUCUAAUACCCUAUUAAG
rnacentral:misc_RNA from 1 species